rnacentral:rRNA from 1 species
CGGUAAUACGGAGGGUGCAAGCGUUACUCGGAAUCACUGGGCGUAAAGGGUGCGCAGGCGGUUUGGUAAGCUGGAUGUGAAAUCCCACGGCUCAACCGUGGAACUGCAUCCAGAACUGCCAGACUAGAGUCUGGGAGAGGUGAAUGGAAUUAGUGGUGUAGGGGUAAAAUCCGUAGAGAUCACUAGGAAUACCGAUUGCGAAGGCGAUUCACUGGAACAGAACUGACGCUGAGGCACGAAAGCGUGGGGAGCAAACAGGAUUAGAUACCCUGGUAGUCCACGCCCUAAACGAUGAAUGCUAGUUGUUGGUGUGCCAGUCACAUCAGUAAUGCAGCUAACGCAAUAAGCAUUCCGCCUGGGGAGUACGGUCGCAAGAUUAAAACUCAAAGGAAUAGACGGGGACCCGCACAAGCGGUGGAGCAUGUGGUUUAAUUCGAAGAUACGCGAAGAACCUUACCUAGGCUUGACAUCCUUGGAAUCAUCCAGAGAUGGAUGAGUGCUAGUUUACUAGAGCCAAGUGACAGGUGCUGCACGGCUGUCGUCAGCUCGUGUCGUGAGAUGUUGGGUUAAGUCCCGCAACGAGCGCAACCCUCGUCCUUAGUUGCUAACAGAUAUGCUGAGCACUCUAAGGAGACUGCCCUCGCAAGGGGGAGGAAGGUGAGGACGACGUCAAGUCAUCAUGGCCCUUACGCCUAGGGCGACACACGUGCUACAAUGGUUAGGACAAUGAGAGGCGAUACCGCGAGGUGGAGCAAAUCUAUAAACCUAAUCUCAGUUCGGAUUGUAGUCUGCAACUCGACUACAUGAAGCUGGAAUCGCUAGUAAUCGCAGAUCAGCCAUGCUGCGGUGAAUACGUUCCCGGG